rnacentral:rRNA from 1 species
UCAAGCUACAAAGGGCGCAUGGUGAAUGCCUUGGCAUCAGGAGCCGAUGAAGGACGUGAUAAGCUGCGAUAAGCUUCGGGUAGGCGCACAUAGCCUGAGAUCCGAAGAUCUCCGAAUGAGGAAACUCACAUGGGAAACCCCAUGUAUCAUUAAGUGAAUACAUAGCUUAAUGAAGGUAACCCAGGGAACUGAAACAUCUAAGUACCUGGAGGAAGAGAAAGAAAAAUCGAUUUUCUUAGUAGCGGCGAGCGAAAGGGAAAGAGCCCAAACCGGAAACUUGUUUCCGGGGUUGUGGACAUAGCAUUAAAGUGGAGGCUAUUGUAACUGAAGAGAACUGGAAAGUUCCACCGUAGAAGGUAAUAGUCCUGUAAGUGAAACGAGAAGACCACGAGUUAUGAUCCAGAGUACCACGAGACACGUGAAACCUUGUGGGAAGCAGGGAGGACCACCUCCCAAGGCUAAAUACUACCUGAUGACCGAUAGUGAAGCAGUACCGUGAGGGAAAGGUGAAAAGAACCCCGGGAGGGGAGUGAAAUAGAACCUGAAACCGUGUGCCUACAACCGCUCAGAGCCCCUUAUGAGGGUGAUGAGGUGCUUUUUGUAGAACGAGCCAACGAGUUACGGUAUGUAGCAAGGUUAAGUACUUAAGGUACGGAGCCGAAGGGAAACCGAGUCUGAAUAGGGCGACUAGUUGCAUGCCGUAGACCCGAAACCGGGUGACCUAUCCAUGGCCAGGUUGAAGCGAGGGUAAAACCUCGUGGAGGACCGAACCACGUUGCUGUUGAAAAAGCAUGGGAUGAGCUGUGGAUAGCGGAGAAAUUCCAAUCGAACCCGGAGAUAGCUGGUUCUCUCCGAAAUAGCUUUAGGGCUAGCGUCGAGUAUGAGUAGUGGAGGUAGAGCACUGAAUGGGCUAGGGGGCAUAGCGCUUACCGAACCUUAUCAAACUCCGAAUGCCACAUACUUUGAGCUCGGCAGUCAGACUACGAAUGAUAAGAUCCGUGGUCAAAAGGGAAACAGCCCAGAUCGUCAGCUAAGGUCCCAAAGUGUAAGUUAAGUGGGAAAGGAUGUGAGAUUUCUAAGACAACUAGGAUGUUGGCUUAGAAGCAGCCAUUCAUUAAAAGAGUGCGUAAUAGCUCACUAGUCGAGAGAUCUUGCGCCGAAAAUGUAACGGGGCUAAACUUACCACCGAAGCUACGGGCUUGAACUUAGUUCAAGCGGUAGGAGAGCGUCGUAACCGGGCUGAAGUCGUACCGUAAGGAGCGGUGGACUGGUUACGAGUGAGAAUGUUGGCAUCAGUAGCGAGAUGUGGGUGAGAAUCCCACAGGCCGAAAACCUAAGGUUUCCUCAGGAAGGUUCGUCCGCUGAGGGUUAGUCGGGACCUAAGCCGAGGCCGAAAGGCGUAGGUGAUGGACAACUGGUUGAUAUUCCAGUACCACUACCAUCGUUAUUAUCGAUGGCGUGACGCAGGAGGAUAGUGUGUGCUAGCUAUUGGAUGCUAGUCUAAGCGUUUAGGCAGUGAGAGUAGGCAAAUCCGCUCUCAUAAUGCUGAGGCGUGAUGGGGAAGGUUCUACGGAACCGAAGUACAUGAUUCCACGCUGCCAAGAAAAGCGUCUAGAGAGAGAAGUAGUGCCCGUACCGCAAACCGACACAGGUAGGUGAGGAGAGAAUCCUAAGGCCGGCGGAAGAAUUACAGUUAAGGAACUCGGCAAAUUGACCCCGUAAGUUCGCGAGAAGGGGUGCCUACGAGAGUAGGCCGCAGAGAAUAGGCCCAAGCAACUGUUUAGCAAAAACACAGGUCUCUGCUAAAGCGUAAGCUGAUGUAUAGGGGCUGACGCCUGCCCGGUGCUGGAAGGUUAAGGGGAACACUUAGCGCAAGCGAAGGUGUGAACUUAAGCCCCAGUAAACGGCGGCCGUAACUAUAACGGUCCUAAGGUAGCGAAAUUCCUUGUCAGGUAAGUUCUGACCCGCACGAAUGGCGUAAUGACUUGGGCACUGUCUCAACUGUAAAUCCGGCGAAGUUGUAGUGCGAGUGAAGAUGCUCGCUACCCGCGAUUGGACGGAAAGACCCCGUAGAGCUUUACUGUAGCUUAGCAUUGAGUUUUGGUAUUGUCUGUACAGGAUAGGUGGGAGACUAGGAAACCAGGGCGUCAGCCUUGGUGGAGUCAACCUUGGGAUACCACCCUGACAGUACUGAAAUUCUAACUGGCGGCCAUGAAUCUGGUCACAGGACAUUGUUAGGUGGGCAGUUUGACUGGGGCGGUCGCCUCCUAAAAAGUAACGGAGGCGCCCAAAGGUUCCCUCAGAACGGUCGGAAAUCGUUCGAAGAGUGCAAAGGCAGAAGGGAGCCUGACUGCGACACCCACAAGUGGAGCAGGGACGAAAGUCGGGCUUAGUGAUCCGGUGGUACCUCGUGGGAGGGCCAUCGCUCAACGGAUAAAAGCUACCUCGGGGAUAACAGGCUGAUCUCCCCCAAGAGUCCACAUCGACGGGGAGGUUUGGCACCUCGAUGUCGGCUCGUCGCAUCCUGGGGCUGAAGUAGGUCCCAAGGGUUGGGCUGUUCGCCCAUUAAAGCGGCACGCGAGCUGGGUUCAGAACGUCGUGAGACAGUUCGGUCCCUAUCCGUCGCGGGCGUAGGAAAUUUGAGAGGAGCUGUCCUUAGUACGAGAGGACCGGGAUGGACUGACCUCUGGUGUACCAGUUGUUCCGCCAGGAGCACAGCUGGGUAGCUAAGUCGGGAAUGGAUAAACGCUGAAAGCAUCUAAGCGUGAAGCCAACCUCAAGAUGAGAUUUCCCAUAGCGUAAGCUAGUAAGAUCCCUUGAAGAACACAAGGUUGAUAGGUCGGGGGUGUAAGCAUGGUAACAUGUUCAGCUGACCGAUACUAAUAGAUCGAGGGCUUGACCAA